AUGAAUCUUGAUAAUUAUGGGACUGAAUAUGAUCCACCUUUACCUAGGCGUUCCAAGAAUUCAGAAUUUGUUGAUCUUGAUGCUAAAUUUGAUAAAAGUGAGAUUGAAGAAAUUAAAACCCUAGAUGUUGCUAAACCCACUAUUAUGGAUUUCAAGGAAUUUAACUAUGAAAAUUUCUCUUGGAUUGAUUGUAUUUCCUUGUUGCAAUCCGUGCUAAAUUCUCCUCACGCUUAUAGUCAAAAUAAAGCGUUUACUAAACAUAUCGUGGAUGCCUUGAUGCAAACUUAUGAAGAAAAACUUGAAUUGGAAGUUUCUAUCCCUAGAAAACUUUAUGAUGAGUGGGGACCAACUAUUAAAAUUAAAAUUAAAGAUCAUGAAUGCUAUGCUUUAUGUGAUUUGGGUGCAGUAUUUCCACGAUUCCAAAGACUUUGUGUGAUUUGUUAG
rnacentral:rRNA from 1 species